rnacentral:lncRNA from 13 species
UACUAGAUGUGACAAAUGCUUCUCUCUUCCUAGAAAACCCUUUCUCAGAAAUGAAUGGACAUGCCCAGUGGAUUGAAUGUACACCAGACCCAGGGAGCAAGUUCUGUUUGCUUCUUUCCGAAGAUGGUACCUCCAGGAUACAGAGUCAUGGUCAGAGAUGAAACACUUGGUAAUUGUCUAAGUACAAUGUUAAUUGUUUUCUCUUGCCACUGCCGUGUAAGAAGUGCCUUUCACCUCCUGCCAUGAUUCUGAGGCCUCCCCAGACAUAUGGAACUGUGGCCCUUGCCUUGGUCUACAGUUCUAGAAACUAUUUAAAAGCAAGAGCUAUUGCCAGGCCAGAGAUAAUGUGUGAAUCAGGCCCACAGAAAUGAAAUAGGGAAUUGAGAGAGACAAAUUGGAGGUAGGAUCUAUGUGAUUCAGUGUAUCUGCUUUUUUAACUUGACUUCCAUUCUUAAUAUUCUGCUAAACCCUAGCUGGAGCUUUUAAUUCUUAAUGCACAUGCAAUCAGUGAGAAUUACUGAGUGCCCACCAUUUACUGAAGCAUGGCAGGUGAACUGAAGGGUAUAACUCAUCCAGAUCUUUCAGAGGUAAAAUAUAAUUGGCCUGAGCCUUUGUCCUAUGGUGACAGUUUAGAUUUUGAAUUCUGUUAGUGUUUAUUUUCUUCACUGAAGAGUCAGAGGAUAGUCACAAGUUUUCAAUAAAUGAGGUAUUGUUAUUUUAAAGGAAAAAGGA